AGUGAACGCUGGCGGUAGGCCUAACACAUGCAAGUCGAACGGCAGCACAGUAAGAGCUUGCUCUUACGGGUGGCGAGUGGCGGACGGGUGAGGAAUACAUCGGAAUCUACUUUUUCGUGGGGGAUAACGUAGGGAAACUUACGCUAAUACCGCAUACGACCUACGGGUGAAAGCAGGGGAUCUUCGGACCUUGCGCGAUUGAAUGAGCCGAUGUCGGAUUAGCUAGUUGGCGGGGUAAAGGCCCACCAAGGCGACGAUCCGUAGCUGGUCUGAGAGGAUGAUAGGCCACACUGGAACUGAGACACGGUCCAGACUCCUACGGGAGGCAGCAGUGGGGAAUAUUGGACAAUGGGCGCAAGCCUGAUCCAGCCAUACCGCGUGGGUGAAGAAGGCCUUCGGGUUGUAAAGCCCUUUUGUUGGGAAAGAAAAGCAGCAGGUUAAUACCCCGCUGUUCUGACGGUACCCAAAGAAUAAGCACCGGCUAACUUCGUG
rnacentral:rRNA from 1 species